UGAAUACGAGAUGCUACGGCGUCGAAGCAGUGUAUGUCAGACUUCCAAGAAAAGCUCGCAAUGUCAUAAAUAAAGAAUGCCUGUACCAUAACCGACACAGGUGGGUAGGUAGAGUAUACUAAGGGGCGCGAGAUAACUCUCUCUAAGGAACUCGGCAAAAUAACUCCGUAACUUCGGGAGAAGGAGUGCCUUCUUUAAGAAGGUUGCAAUAACAAGAUCCAAGCAACUGUUUAUCAAAAACACAGGUCUCCGCUAAGUCGUAAGACGAUGUAUGGGGGCUGACGCCUGCCCAGUGCCAGAAGGUUAAAGAAGUUGGUUAGCUUUUGCGAAGCUGAUGACUGAAGCCCUGGUGAACGGCGGCCGUAACAAUAACGGUCCUAAGGUAGCGAAAUUCCUUGUCGGGUAAGUUCCGACCCGCACGAAAGGCGUAAUGAUUUGGAUACUGUCUCGGAGAGGGACUCGGUGAAAUAGACUUGUCUGUGAAGAUGCGGACUACCUGCACCAGGACAGAAAGACCCUAUGAAGCUUUACUGUAACUUGAAAUUGAAAUUGGACUUUAUUUGCGCAGUAUAGGUGGAAGGCGUUGAAAGUAAUCUUGCGGGAUUAGUGGAGCCAUCAGUGAGAUACCACUCCUAUAAUGUUAGAUUUCUAACUUUGGAUCAUGAUCUGGUCAAAGAACAGUUUCAGGCGGGCAGUUUGACUGGGGCGGUCGCCUCCCAAAUGGUAACGGAGGCGUACAAAGGUUUCCUCUGAACGGGUAGAAAUCGUAUCUAGAGUGUAAAGGCAUAAGGAAGCUUGACUGUGAGACCUACAAGUCGAGCAGGGACGAAAGUCGGUCUUAGUGAUCUGACGGUGCUGAGUGGAAAGGCCGUCACUCAACGGAUAAAAGUUACUCUAGGAUAACAGGCUGAUCUCCCCCAAGAGUUCACAUCGACGGGGAGGUUUGGCACCUCGAUGUCGGCUCAUCGCAUCCUGGGGCGGUAGUACGUCCCAAGGGUUGGGCUGUUCGCCCAUGAAAGCGGUACGCGAGCUGGGUUCAGAACGUCGUGAGACAGUUCGGUCCAUAUCCGGUGUAGGCGUUAGAAUAUUGAGAGGAGCCUUCUUUAGUACGAGAGGACCGAGAAGGACAUACCUCUGGUGUACCAGUUAUCGUGCCAACGGUAAACGCUGGGUAGCUAUGUAUGGAGAGGAUAACCGCUGAAAGCAUCUAAGUGGGAAGCCCACCUCAAGAUGAGUAUUCCC
rnacentral:rRNA from 1 species